CAUGUGGCACUUUGGACUCUGGGUCAACAAGUUGCCAGUGCUGGGUAUGUGGUGGAGCCAUACAUGAAGUAUAUGUCUCUACUGGAGGUGCUACUCAACUUCCUGAAGACAGAACAGAACCAGGGGAUUAGGAGAGAGGCCAUACGUGUGUUAGGUCUCUGGAUCCCUACAAACACAAGGUAAACAUCGGUAUAAUUGACCAGUCUCAUGAUGCUUCAACUGUCAGCCUCUCAGAAUCCAAGUCCAGCCAGGAUUCAGCUCACUGCAGUACCAGUGAGAUGCUGGUCAACAUGGGCAAUCUUCCACUAGAUGAGUUUUACCCGGCAGUUGCCAUAGUGACUCUGAUGCACAUCCUGCAUGACCCAUCGCUGUUCAAUCAUCACACCAUGGUGGUGCAGGCCGUCACCUUCAUUUUCAAAUCGCUCGGACUGAAAUGUGUGCAGUUCCUGCCUCAAGUUAUGCCCACUUUUCUUACUGUCAUCAGAGUGUGUGAUACCAGCAUAAGAGAGGUAUGCUGCUAUCACAGAAAUGAGGUGGUAUUUUCUUAAAAAAUU